AUGCAGAUGGACUCCUACUACUUCCACGACGACGCCCACCUCUUCGCCGGCUGCGGCGUCCCCGGCUCGCCGGACCUGCCCUUCGCCGACCUCAUUGCGUCGCUCUCGGAGCCGCUGCCUGCGGUGGUAGAGAGCCAGAGCGCGUUCCGGGAGUACCGCGGCGUCGGCCUGGAGCUUCCGGGGACGGCCCGGGGAGGAACCGGGAACGGGAUCAACAUCCACCGGAGGAUGAUGGGCGUGCUGGGCAGGAUGGGGCCGGCCGCUGAGGAGGAGGAGCGGCCGCAGCACCAGCAGCAGCAGGCGGCCGGCGCCGUCGAGAGCAGCCGCGGGUUCCGGCACAUGAUGCGCGAGCGCCAGCGCCGCGAGAAGCUCAGCCAGAGCUACGCCGACCUCUACGCCAUGGUCUCCUCCCGCUCCAAGCAGGACAAGAACUCGAUCGUGCAGUCCGCGGCCGUCUACAUCCACGAGCUCAAGGUCGCCAAGGAGCAGCUCCAGAGGAGGAACGACGAGCUCAAGGCCAAGAUCCUGGGGCACGACGAGCAGCAGCAGUGCGUCAAGGUCCAGUUCGAGGUGGACGAGCCCUCGUCCUCCGUCGACUCCAUGAUCGGGGCCCUCACGCGCCUCAAGAGCAUGAAUGUCAAGACCAGGGGGAUCCACUCCAUCUUGUCCGGCCAGCGGUUGACGACGGAGAUGAAUGUCGAAACCACGAUUGCGGCCUGCGAGGUAGAAAAGGCAGUGGAGGAGGCUCUCCAGGAAGUAGAGAGGAAUCAGCUGCCUGACAGCGAGGCCCCGUUUCCCGGAAGCAGGAGCGCCUGGCCUCAAACAUCACACGUGCAAAAUGUGUUCUGA
rnacentral:rRNA from 1 species